rnacentral:rRNA from 1 species
GUGCCAGCAGCCGCGGUAAUACGUAGGUGGCAAGCGUUGUCCGGAUUUACUGGGCGUAAAGGAUGUGUAGGCGGAUAUUUAAGUGAGAUGUGAAAUCCCAGGGCUUAACUUUGGGGCUGCAUUUCAAACUGGAUGUCUAGAGUGCAUGAGCGGAAAGCAGAAUUCCUAGUGUAGCGGUUAAAUGCGGAGAGAUUAGGAAGAAUACCAGUGGCGAAGGCGGCUUUCUGGACUGUAAAUGAC